GCUCCUGCCCUAGAGCUUCAUUUUCAGGGCUGGGAAAGUGGCUCAAAAGGUGAAAUGCUCCCUGAACUGGAUCCCCCAUGGGCGAUGCACACCUGUAAUCGCAGCGCUCAGGAGGGGGAGAAAUGGCAUGCUCCUCUCUCCAGACAACUGAAGUACACGCUCAACUAACGAGUAAACACAUGAACAACGGUAAAACGAAGGCUGGCUUGACUGAGUGAAAUCCCUCAGGUGCCUGUCCCAGGAAGGAGGAAACAGUCCAGGGGAGCUGCCUUGCUGGAAUGUAAGUGGCACAAGUUACUUGCCAGGCGUUAGAGGAUGGGAGCUGAUGGGAAGGCAGAAAAAAGCGUCACUGCCAAAACAGAGGUGACCGUAAGAAAAGUGACCAAGGCAUUGAGGAAACGAGGCUCACAGAGGAACACCAGAAUCCAGCCAAAGGGGCACACGGCAACAAGCAGUGGGAGCCAGGGCCCCUUGGAAUGAGCCACUAAGGACUCAGGGAGCAUCCCGAGUAAUAAUUUAGUACAAUCAUACAACACAGUAACACUCAGACGGAGCCGCUGACUCUUCAGCUGCUGGGACUGGAGACCGAGCUCUUACACACAGUGAAAACUCGAAAUAGGAAGAAGAGGAGAAUGGACGGAGACAAGGAAGAGAGGGAGGGAAGAAGAGGGAGGGAGGGAAGGAAGAAAGAACGUUGUGAGGCAGGAUCCAAGAACAGCAAAUUAAGGGAACACGAGGAGGAAAAGGAAUUUCUCACUCCAGAGCCUUGUUCAAGUCUCUCAGUUUCUGAGAGUCGAGAAUUCCAGCACAAUUAACAUUUGCUGUGAAGAUUUCCUAUAGCGAUAAUAAUCCUUUUUUUUUUUUUUUUUUGAGCUGAGGAUCGAACCCAGGGCCUUGCGCUUGCUAGGCAAGCGCUCUACCACUGAGCUAAAUCCCCAGCCCUCAAGAAUAAUCCUUUUAUAUAGACAUUUCAGCUAAGAAUGAACCAUGCUUAAGAUUCAAACAUGUGUGCUGUUUCUCCUCUACUGUAUGGCCUUUGCAUCUGGUGUAACCUUUCUCCCAGUACCAUCUGUCCCCUUUUCCCAGAUGUCAGCCUGCAAUUUUCGAGGAACUUCACAAACAAGUCUAUACAAUUAAAUAUGUGUCUUAACUGCCUGCGCAGACCUUGUGAGCCAUGGCUUGACCUUAUCAGUUUGUGAUCUUAUCCAAGGCACUGCAGUAACCAUCCCAUGAUCUCAUUCACCAAAAAGAAGCGGGGGAAGAAAAAUCCCUCAGACUCUCUCUGAAGGAAGUCAUUUCAGCAGCAUGCACCCUGUCAGCAGCUGGGGAAGGACCCAAGAGCACCGGGAGGCAACAGGUCUCAAAACUGUACCGCACAGAGUGGUUGUUUCAGAGAUGUAGUCUGCAGAGGUCCUGCAACCAGCCUUUGCUAGGAUUUCACAAGGAACAGGCUACUUCCUGGUAGAGAAUUGGCCAUGUGACUUCAGAGAAGCAUCUACCUACAGCCAAUGCAUACACAAGAUAGGGAGCCCUUAGGAAGCAAAAGCUGAGUCCUAUUUCUUGUCUCCAUACCAGUCAGAACCAGAACUGGGCUUGA